rnacentral:misc_RNA from 1 species
CGCGCGUGAGCGACGGCGCCGCCGCAAAGCCUUCGACACUGACACCGUCACGUUCGGCGCGCACCUCAAUGGCGCUGGCGCGAAAGUCCGCGCCCAGAAUAUCGCCGAGCCUUGUCAGUCUCCCCGCUGCACCGGGCAACGCCGCAGCCCAGGUGACGGGCGCGCGCUCUUCGCCGGACAGUGAGAACGCANNNNNNNNNCGAGCCGCCGCACCACUUCGCGGACAGCUUCCGCCUCGGUGCGGUCGGUUUUGAGAAAUUUCAGUCGCGCCGGCGUCGCGUAGGACCUCGACGCGCGUUCCGGCGGUCAAUGCCGCUGGCACAAUAUCGGACUUCGCUCCGGCAUCGACAUUCAGUGUCCAGGCGUGAGGUUCG